rnacentral:tRNA from 1 species
GUUUUUGUAGUUGAAGUACAACGAUGGUUUUUCAAGUCAUCGGUCUUGGUUAAAGUCCUGGCAAAAACC